rnacentral:ncRNA from 1 species
AUAAUGUUGGGUUUGAUUCUGGCCCAUGAUGUAACCUUAUGAUUGAACAUAACACAUGCAAGUCAUUUUUCACUUUCGUUGAUAUAAUGGCGUACGGGUGAGUAAAAUUAAGAUUAUAUAUAUGGUUGAUUUAUUCUACCUUAUUUGUAAUUUUAACAGGAUUAGCUUCGGCGAUGAUCCUUAGUUGUUCUUAGCGGAUUUACAACCACAAUGAAACUGAAAUACGGUUCAUACGUCCAAAGGACGGCAGCAGUGGGGAAUAUUGGACAAUGGACUAAAGUCUGAUUCAGUUACAAUCAUAGAUAUUUAAAUUAUGAUUUUUUAUCUUAUAGUCCUGACUAAUUACGUGCCAGCAGUCGCGGUAAUACGUAAAGGGCUAAGGUUCAUCAAAUUGACUGGGUUUAAAGCGUUUGAAGAGUCCCACUACAUUUAAUUUUUUCUUAAAUCCCACUCUCGUGGUUUUUUAUUAUAUGUUUUGGGUUGAGUUUUUAGGAGGAAUAUAGAAUUUAAUAGGUAGCAAUGAAAUGCUUUAAUCUUUUAAGGAAUUUCAAUAGUUAAUACAAUAUUCCAUUAUUAACUGACCUUUUAUAACGAAAGUCUGGGUAGCAAAUUGGAUUAGAGACCCAAGUAGUCCAGACUAUCAAUACAGAUGAGCAAUUGUGGCUCAUCCACCUGGGGAGUACGAUCGCAAGAUUAAAACUCAAAGAAAUUGACGGGGAUUCAUAUAAAUGGUGGUGCAUGUUGUUUAAUUCGAUAACACACGCUAAAUCUUACCAAUUCUUGGUUCCCUCCGUGCUAGCGCCCCGGGCCCCCUUGACUUUCAGGGGGGCCGGGGGCGGAGCCGAGGUAUUUCAGGUGUUGCAUGGCUGUCUUCAGUUCGUGUCUUGAGAUUUUUGGUUCAUUCCUUUAACGAACGGAAUCCUUUAGCUGCCGUUGAGACUAGUGUUGGGCCCCCGCGUAGCGCGCGGGGUACCAGUCGCUAUCGCGCCGCUUACAAAAUCCGAAAGGGUUGGGAAGGAAAGGAAAAUGACAAGCACUCAUGACCCUUAUGAAUUGGGCUACAAACGUGCUACAUUGAACAAAUCAAUUUUAGUUCUUACCCGAGAGGGCUAGCUCUAAUUAAUUUUGUUCUUAGUUCGAAUAACUCUCUGCAACUCGAGUGUUAUUAGUUGGAAUCAUUAGUAAUCGUUUAUCAUAUUGAAACGGUGAAUCUUUAAUUGAAUCCUGUACACACCGCCCAUCACGUUUUGGAAGUUAUUUUUUAAUAAAAUCUUGUUUUGAGACUUGAUUAAUUUUGUUUUUACCUUUUGUUCUACGGUCUCCUUGAUGUUGUUAAAUUUGUAGUAACUGAAAUGAAGUUGUAACAAGGUAGUGGUAAUAGAAAUUGCCGCUGGAUUAAUUUUGAU